AGGAGAGAGGUGGGGGGGGGAGAGUGAUAGGGAGAGACAGGAGCGCGGAGCGAUCCUCACGGUCCUAAUGCCCUUCAGCCCCGAGCGCGCGCGUCCCCCGGACGCCCAUUCAUUCGCGCGCAGAGCCGGUCCCGCGCUCCAGCCGCCGCGGGCCAACCGACCCCGCCGCUGCGCAUCGGGAGAAGAGCGCGCCGGGUAGGAAGUGUCGCGGGCCUUCCUCCCGCGCCCGGGAACCUGGCGAGACAGACGCCCGCGGCGGAAUGGCGACUGGCCAGAGCCAGCCUCGGCUCCCACCGCUCGGUGACCGAAUGCCCAGUGGCUGCCCCCUGCGGCUGUCCCGCCUACCUACACCCACUCCCAGACCAGGCGGCCCUGAGUCACCGACUGGAGAUGCUCGAACCCCAACCUGGGCCCGCGCCGCGGAGCUGCAGUUCCGGGCUGCGCUCUGAACUGCGCUCUGGCGCGGGGUUCAAGGUGCGUUCCACGAGACCUUGGGAAGCGACGGCUGGGCAGGGAAGAGAGUCCUGAGUUUGCACUGGAAUCCUCCGCAACCUAGGAUUCCGAGCUGCCCCAGAGCCCGCCCCAAGGAGGGAUUGGAAGCUGGUGCACUUGACAUUCCGGGACAGCGAAGAGGAAGCGACGCUGCCUCACACCCGAAGCAAGGAGAAAGGGGGAUACAACCACCCCACAUCUUUCACUGGCCUGGGGCUCCCAGAUUUCUUGACGUUUCCCUCCACUCCGCCUCAUUGUCCCCUGGACAACCCUGAGAUAUCAUCACCAUUAUUUCAUCAGAAAGAAGGGAGGCUAGAGAGGCUGGACGAUUCUCCUGAGGCCACAGGCUAAUUAGUGGGCAGAGCCCAGUCUAAAAGCCAUCCCUCCGUCUGACACUUUUUGACAAAGUGCAAAACGUGGUGGUGGUAAGAGCUGAGAACACAAACAUCCUUGAGAUUCCGCCCCAGCCCUGGAGGCAUUGAGAAUCAGGUGUGAACUACUCCCACUCCAGGCAGAAGGCAAGGAAUCAUGGGGCAGCCCAGUGGUCAUGUCAUCUGUGCAACACCAGGGAAGACCUUGCUCCUUCAGUGUCAGGCUCCACAGCACCUCCCAUUUUCACAUAGGCUCUCGGGAGAUCAAAGUCAGCCAGGUGAAAGGCGGCAAUAGCCCUAUUGCCAUAGGCUGUUCCCUUCAGCCCAGACUGGUCUAUGCAUAUCUAGUUGUCUUUGGUCUUAAAAGAGCCAGGUGAAAGGAUGUGGGAUCCGAAGACAUCACAUCACCUCCUGGUGAGAGGCUCCAAACUCACACCCCGGUGUGGGGGAUGAAGCUGGACUGUGCCAAACUGAAAUCAGGCUGGAAUGGAUUCCAGCAGAACCAUGGAAUCAAAGCAACACCUAAGAGACUUCCUGUUUCCUCCCAUUGCUUGAACUUUGAAGACAACAAAAGUAAUCAUAAUAGCUACAGUUUACUCAGCCCUCCAGUUGCCAGCCACUGUGCCAGCAUUUCACAUAAUGCUGUCUCUAAAGCUCCCACAACUCUGAGCUAAGGACUGUCAUCCCAACUGCAGAUGAGGAAACAUUGAGGCUACCCCACUUGCCUGGAGUCCUACAUCAAGAAAGAAGGCAGGGAUGGUGAAGAAAAUGUAUGCUACCACGUAACAGGCACUGUGCCAGUACACGACCCAUCAAGGAAGGCUCGACCAUCCCCAUUUCACAAAUGAAGAGCCCGACGCCUGCAGGGCACAUGCACCCACUGCCAGCUGACCGCACUUUAAGGCUCCAACUGUCUUUAAGGAAAAGAUAUUUGUAAGGAGGAAGAGGAGGCAUGUUCGGCUGAAUUUGAGUUCUCUGUGGUCAGGAAGGCAUCCAUAAAGCCAGGUCUGGAGCUCGGAAGCAGAGUGAAUGGGGCCAGUCAACUAGAGAUGAGAAAACUAGAAACACAAGGGGGGCAAAUAUGUUGCUGGGUGGCUGCCCAUGUACCCAGCACCUAGGCCUGGGGGAAAGGAUCCUGGACGCCUGUGUGAAGAUGGAGAUACAGAGAGUGGACACUUUUUUUCUGCCUCUGUCAGAUGCCUUGACAAAAUCAUCCGGCCCAGGCUCUUCAAGUCCUCACCAUCUGGUACACAUCAGGAUGGACCUCUAGACCUAGGGCUUGAGCAAAAUUUGGCUCAAUAUCAAAGAGGCCACGCAAGAAGACCACCGAGAAUUUGAGUUGAAGAGACCCACAGUCCUGGUCUGGCAUUUCCUUCAGUCUAAUGGUGCCUAUAAUUGAAACCUCCAUUUUCCCUGUGAAAGUGGGAAGUGGAAAUUAAAGCAAUGUUCCCAGGA